CCUCCUAAACCACAGAGAAACCCUG
rnacentral:piRNA from 1 species